rnacentral:antisense_RNA from 1 species
CUUGAUCGACCCCAGCCGCAGCGGCUCACCGCGAUCCUGGCCGUAGGUCGCCAACAACGCCUGCGCCUC